ensembl:snRNA U1 U1 spliceosomal RNA
AUACUUACCUGGCAGGGGAGAUAUGAUCACGAAGGUGGUUUCCAGUGGGAAGUUCAUCCAUUGCAGUCCGGGUGUGCUGACCCCUGCAAUUACCCCAAAUAUAGUUUGUGGUAGUGGGGGACUGCAUUCGUACUUCCCCUGG